GUUUGAUUAUGGCGUCAGGAUGAACGCUGGCGGCGUGCCUAACACAUGCAAGUCGAACGAGAGUAGAUGGUGCUUGCACCGAUCAAGUCGAGUGGCGGACGGGUGAGUAACGCGUGGGUAACCUGCCUCAUACAGGGGGACUAACGAACUGGAAACGGUUGAUAAUACCGCAUAAGCGCACGGUAUCGCAUGAUACAGUGUGAAAAACUCCGGUGGUAUGAGAUGGACCCGCGUCUGAUUAGCUAGUUGGCGGGGUAACGGCCCACCAAGGCGACGAUCAGUAGCCGGCCUGAGAGGGUGAACGGCCACAUUGGGACUGAGACACGGCCCAAACUCCUACGGGAGGCAGCAGUGGGGAAUAUUGCACAAUGGGGGAAACCCUGAUGCCAGCGACGCCGCGUGAGCGAAGAAGUAUUUCGGUAUGUAAAGCUCUAUCAGCAGGGAAGAAAAUGACGGUACCUGACUAAGAAGCCCCGGCUAACUACGUGCCAGCCGCCGC
rnacentral:rRNA from 1 species